rnacentral:lncRNA from 1 species
AUUAAUUUUAUAAUUCUUUAAUAGUUAUCAUACCAUACAUACAUCAACAAACUUCACAAUCAACAAGGAGAAAUCACAGAUAAACAAUAACAAAUGUGAUUGUCAGUAAUGAAAUAUACAAAAAUGCAUGUAGAGUUGCAUUUUCUAUAAUGCUUGAUUUAUAAAUAUUAGUUAACUUAGUCAAAAUAUAGCUUUAAAAAAGCAGCACUUUUUGUGGCUGCAAAUAGGAUAAUAAAUUUACUUCCAAAAUAUCCAAUUAUAUAUCAUUUAGUACAACCAUAAACUUUAAAUCUAAAUCUUUUUUUUAGAACAGAAAUUCAGUAAGAGAUUCCCUUUAUUUCAUCAGAUUUUCAAACAGUGUGACUGAAAAGGUUUAAAGGAUGGGCCUGUACUUGUACUUAUAAUUGAUGAAAUAAACUACAGUAAAAAUGAUAUAAAAAAGUAUGAACAAAUAUCUUAAAAUCUAACAAUAAAUAAAAACAACAAAAUUAUCCUGAAAAGUACCCUACUCUCUAUGUUUAGAUUAAUACAUAGAAGACACUUAUAAAGGUCACUAGAGUAGACUACACUAUAGUAAAACUGAAAGAUAUAGUCUCUAUAGCUCAUUAAAUAUAUAUAUUGAAGUAAGAAACAGAAAUGUAUAAUGAAAAAUACAAAUCAUACAACUAGAAUAUUUUAAAUUCUACUCAUACUAAUCUGAAUCUGUCUUAUUACUUUUAGCAAGUUAAUGCUCAUAUAAUUUACAUACAACGGUAAACAAAUUUGAUAUUACCCUCCAUGUACUUAUCUCACAUAUGUGAACUUGCAACUCUGUCACCUAAUAAAAAUAAUCUCACUGCACCUUAAUAUUCAUAAUUGUUGCUUCAAUAAAUUAAUAAAGAAUGCUGAAAUUUUGUAAAAUUGGUAUAAAAAUAUAUAUGUUAAAGAUAUAUGAAAGAGCUUUUGAUCUAAAGCUACAUUACUUUUCAUCAACCAUUUUCAAUAGGAAAUAUAACACAAGUUCAUCAAAAAGUUUAAUAUAAAAGUUUUAUAUCUGACUUUAUACAACUGUUCCAUUGUUGACCAUAUAUCAAAAGAUACUGGUAAAAAUAAUUUACCAAAAUUGAUUGUAUACUGUAUCAUAAAAUGCUGCAAAAAAUAUUAUGUUUCUGGGUAAAAUUAUUUUGGCACUUAAUGUAUAAACAUUUUCCAAGUAAUUUCUUUAAAAUAACUGCAUCACUGUAAGGGGAAAUAAAAAAAAACAACAUAUUGGUGAAUCUACAUAUCAAUUUUCUGAGAAACUAUUUAACCUCUGCCUAGAAAAGCACAAUGCAUCCAGCAGCUAAUAUUCAGUAAAUUUUGAUACAAAAAUAAUUGGUUAAUACUAUGUGGUGGCAAUGCUGAGAUUAAAUGCUGUGUUUGGGAGUUAAUCUACUUUGUAAAAAGUGACCAUACAUUGUUUAAUAAUUCUUAUAUGAUUUGCAUAUCUAUAAAUACUUGAAUUGGAUUGGUCAAUUAGAAUUUUUCUCUAAGUUUACACUUCAAUAAACCAUGUUCCCGAAACUACUUUUGUAAUCUAUUCAUGCGCGAUACACAAGCUUGCAGUGAUCCCAGGAUUUUCAGCAAUUUGAGAUUUAAAAACAAUUGCAUAACAGUUGUGACUAUUCUAGUGCAUAUAUAACAAAAAAAAAGAAAUAAAUUUAAAUCACUAAGCUUCGAAAAUGUAUAAAAAUAAAAUUUAAUAAAAUUCCGCG